rnacentral:rRNA from 1 species
CCUACGGGCGGCUGCAGUGGGGAAUAUUGCACAAUGGGCGCAAGCCUGAUGCAGCCAUGCCGCGUGUGUGAAGAAGGCCUUCGGGUUGUAAAGCACUUUCAGCGGGGAGGAAGGCGUUAAGGUUAAUAACCUUGUCGAUUGACGUUACCCGCAGAAGAAGCACCGGCUAACUCCGUGCCAGCAGCCGCGGUAAUACGGAGGGUGCAAGCGUUAAUCGGAAUUACUGGGCGUAAAGCGCACGCAGGCGGUCUGUCAAGUCGGAUGUGAAAUCCCCGGGCUCAACCUGAGAACUGCAUUCGAAACUGGCAGGCUAGAGUCUUGUAGAGGGGGGUAGAAUUCCAGGUGUAGCGGUGAAAUGCGUAGAGAUCUGGAGGAAUACCGGUUGCGAAGGCGGCCCCCUGGACAAAGACUGACGCUCAGGUGCGAAAGCGUGGGGAGCAAACAGGAUUAGCUACCCGGGUAGUC